GAAAGGCUGGUAAUCUAAAGGGGACUAUAUCCUUGCGCGGAAGGAGACCUGCUCUCGGCUGCUCUCUGCUGCCCUCUGCUGCAUGCACGUGCAGCGAAGGUGGAGGAGGAGUGUUACUACGCAGCUGAAGUGAGGAGCCGCAACAACUCCUUCGACAAGUUACAGGAGUCUAUUGUUUGCUAACGAGGGGAUAAUUAGCGCAUGUACUGGUGGAUGCUAUCAGCGUGCGUCACUGACGAGCUACCACGCAAAGGAAGAAAUAUUGAUGUUCACUCGUACAUCCCAGUUGUUGACCUAAUGUGAAUGGAUGUGAAGAGACAAAUAAAGAUGCAUUCAACGGUGGAAAUCGGA